rnacentral:rRNA from 1 species
CAGUAGCCGCGGUAAUACGUAGGGUGCAAGCGUUGGUCGGAAUUACUGGGCGUAAAGCGUGCGCAGGCGGUUAUAUAAGUCAGAUGUGAAAUCCCCGGGCUCAACCUGGGAACUGCAUUUGAGACUGUAUGGCUAGAGUGUGUCUGAGGGGGGUAGAAUUCCACGUGUAGCAGUGAAAUGCGUAGAUAUGUGGAGGAAUACCGAUGGCGAAGGCAGCCCCCUGGGAUAACACUGACGCUCAUGCACGAAAGCGUGGGGAGCAAACAGGAUUAGAUACCCCCGUAGUCCCUGUCUCUUAUAC